rnacentral:lncRNA from 1 species
GGCUGGAGUGCAGUGGCGCAAUCGCGGCUCACUGCAAGCUCCGCCUCUCGGGUUCACGCCAUUCUCCUGCCUCAGCCUCUCCGAGCAGCUGGGACUACAGGUGCCCACCACCACACCCGGCUAAUUUUUUGUAUUUUUAGUAGAGACGGGAUUUCACCGUGGCCUCGAUCUCCUGACCUCAUGAUCCACCCGCCUCGGCCUCCCAAAGUGCUGGGAUUACAAGCGUGAGCCACCGCGCCCGGCUAUAAUACAUCUUAAUUGUGGUGGUAACAUGGGCAUAUUCCUUUGGCAAAACCAUUUGAACUGUACACUUAAAAUGUGCAUUUUAUUAC